rnacentral:rRNA from 1 species
CGACGGGUGAGUAAUACUUAGGAAUCUGCCCAUUAGUGGGGGACAACUCGAGGAAACUCGAGCUAAUACCGCAUACGCCCUACGGGGGAAAGCGGAGGACCUUUCGGGGCUUCGCGCUAAUGGAUGAGCCUAAGUCGGAUUAGCUUGUUGGUGAGGUAAAGGCUCACCAAGGCGACGAUCCGUAGCUGGUCUGAGAGGACGAUCAGCCACACUGGGACUGAGACACGGCCCAG